rnacentral:rRNA from 1 species
CCUACGUGUGGCAGCAGUGAGGAAUCUUGGUCAAUGGACGCAAGUCUGACCCAGCCAUGCCGCGUGCAGGAAGACGGCUCUAUGAGUUGUAAACUGCUUUUGUACGAGGGUAAACGCAGAUACGCGUAUCUGUCUGACAGUAUCGUACGAAUAAGGAUCGGCUAACUCCGUGCCAGCAGCCGCGGUAAUCCGGAGGAUUCAAGCGUUAUCCGGAUUUAUUGGGUUUAAAGGGUGCGUAGGCGGUCGGAUAAGGUAGCGGUGAAAUCCCGAGGCGCAACUUCGGAAUUGCCUCUGAUACUGUUCGGCUAGAGAGUAGUAGAGGUAGGUGGAAUGGAUGGUGUAGCGGUGAAAUGCUUAGAGAUCAGACAGAACACCGAUUGCGAAGGCAGCUUACCAAGCUACUUCUGACGUUGAGGCACGAAAGCGUGGGGAGCAAACAGGAUUAGAUACCCCAGUAGUC